rnacentral:rRNA from 1 species
GACGAACACUGGCGGCGUGCUUAACACAUGCAAGUCGAACGGUGAAGCGCUUUUUUUGUUGGUGGCUGGGGUGGAGAAGGGAAGAGUAGAGUAAGAGUAACGUAACCUUGACUUUGGGAUUGGUUAAGGGCACUGAGGCUUGUCCAGGAUGGGAGAUCCUGGUGCUGGGGCAUGGUGGGAAUGGGUAGGCGAUUGGGUAGGGGGGGGCUGGGCAGGCGUCUGAUCGGGGGGUUGGUGGGGUGAUGGCCUACCAGGGCGGUGACGGGUGUCAGGCUUGAGAGGGUGGCCGGCCACACGGGGACUGAGAAACGGCCCAGACUCCUACGGGAGGCAGCAGUGGGGAAUAGUGCACAAUGGGCGCAAGCCUGAUGCAGCGACGCCGCGUGAGGGAUGGAGGCCUUCGGGUUGUGAACCUCUUUCGCCAGUGAAGCAGGCCUGCCUCGUUUGUGGGUGGGUUGACGGUAGCUGGAUAAGAAGCGCCGGCUAACUACGUG